UUUGGAUUUUGGGCCGUCCGAUCGAGCUGACGUGGCGCGAUCUCGGCCGUCGUUCCGUCCAGGGCGCUGAGGCCCUCCCGCAGACCCACUUUUUAUCCAUGGGUCGCGAAAAGCCCCGCUCGGCCCGAUCUCUCGCGUCGCGUGUGGCUGCCUCCUCUCCAAUCCCGUCGCUCCCUCUCCCCUUCCAAUCCCGCAGAUGCAGCCGCCGCCUCCCCAGCUCCCUCUCCCUGCUGCCGCUCUCCUCUCCGGCGAGCUGCCGCCGCUCUCCUCUCCGGCGAGCGUUGGCAGCUGUGUCCUCCCGCUCAUCAAGGCCCCCGUUCUCGUCGCUGUUGAGAGGAAGAGGAGGAGCCCCAAACCACCAAACCUCCCCCCGUCGUCUCCUCCCCGAAGCCUCCUGCUCGGCCGCCUCCACCGCCACUCGCGUCGCCGCCGGCACCUUCUUCAGCCGUCUCCCCUCUCCCCGCCUCUUCCUCCUGAUUCGCGAUGCUGCGACCUCGAGGCGCCAUCAAGGAAUCUCGUCCCCAAUCCCCGCAGCCUCCGCGUCCCCUCUCUCCAAUCGCCGCCACCUCCCUCCUCCUCAUCUCCUUCGUGACGUUCGUCCUCGCUGGGAGAAGGAGAAUGGGCUAUCCAUCGUCGGGAUGAGCCACUGGCCGCCGCUCGCGCCGCAUCCCAUCUCCAGGGCAGCGGUCGUCUUGCAUCGCAAGGAGCAGCGGCGCUCGGUAGGGGGCGGCGGCGUAGGAGGAUGAGGAGAAGCGGGCGGAGCAGCAGCAGAGACCACCGGUGACGCUUGCUUCUCCCACCGUCCUCCAUCUCCGCCUUCUCGUCGCCUCUGUGCACCGGCCGACACACAGGAGAAGAAGGCAGCUCGGAGAUGGCUAGGGCACGGGCUCGACGGCGUUGUCCUCAGCGCGGUGGAGCAUGGCGCUGCCGUCAGCCUCGUCCAUCCCAGGCAUCUCUCUCCAUGAGAAGCCCCAAGAAUCCUCUCUCCUUUGUCAUCUCUCUUUCUCUCCAGAUUCUAUUUUAUCUAUGCUCAGAAGGUGUUUGACAUAAUUCAUGCACGGCAGGAUUAAUCUAUUUCAUAUCUUUGCUCUAUUGAUUGCUCAAUAAUUUCGUUCUUCUUUGUAAAAAUGGAUCUAAUGCAUUCCAAGAUUUUGCAUAAAUAUUGUACACUCGGUAUAACCAUUUUUUAGUUACGACUGUUUGUUGCUUUGGCUAGAAUCUAUUCAUGUGUUGAAGAAUGUAAUGUGGAUGAAGUGAGAGCAAGCAGCCUUUCUGGCCGUAGUUCAUAAUUUUCCUUUUCGUUCGUUAGUUCAUAGUUCUUCUUUAUUAGAUCUUUAGAAUAUAGUGCUGCAUAAGUUACUCCACUGUAUUUCCUGGUCGUCAUCCUCCUUUGCAGAACUGGUUGAUGCCCUCGGGGACAAUUUUUGUUUCAGCAUAUAUUCUUCAGUCCGUAUGUGUGUUAUUUACUCUUUGGUGUUUUGACAUGGCGCAUGAUGGUGGCGAACAGUUUCAAGGUGCAGAUGAGCUUCUUCUUCUGUUAUUGAUGCCACCUGUGAGAUUUGUCCAACUCCACUUUGUGGCACAGGAAGGUGUAUAGGAUCCUUGCUGCUCUACUCAGGUGGGGGAAGACAUUGAAGCAAAACAGCAAACAAAAUGUAUAUGCUCUCCCUGGUAAUUUGUUAUGGGAGGUUGUAUGACAAGGGUGCCAAUGAUGACAUGUGGAGCCUUCUGUUCUACAGGAAAACCCAUUGUUUAUUUCCUGUAGCUGCUUGUGUUGUUCAUAUUGGAUUCUGGUUUGCUAUGGAUUCGUCCAUUGCUAAGUAUCAACCCAUAUUUCUUGUUAAACAGAAGCAGAAGCUUCUGCCUAUUGUUGCUGAAUAUGUAGGCAGUGAAGCAUUGAGCACCAUAAUUUCUAACAAGCUUCGUGCAGGCUAUGCUCUAAUUGUGUGAAGUGGGAUGAGGACAAUCUGUAUGAGUUUGAAUCAAGCAAGCCAGUGAGACAGAAGAUACCUGAGCCCAAGACAUAGUAUCACCCUAUUAUGAUAGAUGGUGAUGGGUCAGUAUCACCAAAGCACCCGUUUGACAAGUGCCUAGAUGAGACUGUUAAUGUUGAAGCUAUUCUAACUGUUUUGAAUGGCGUGGCUUCUUCAAGUAAAAAUGAUUCUAAGGAUGAUGAUUGGGCAACCUCAGAUGAUGAUGCGGAUUCCAUGGAACAUGAUGAUGGUUGGUAGCUUCUUGCUCAAUUGCUAUUAUAAUGUGGUUAUUCUGUUUUGCAAUAAUUUUCAAUCAUAUAUUGCUAUACUGUGUUUGAAUCUAUUUAAAUGAGGGAAAUUAAUGUGACUUGCU